rnacentral:rRNA from 1 species
UUAAUUGAAGAGUUUGAUCAUGGCUCAGAUUGAACGCUGGCGGCAGGCCUAACACAUGCAAGUCGAGCGGGGUUUUCGGACCUAGCGGCGGACGGGUGAGUAAUGCGUAGGAAGCUGCCCGAUAGAGGGGGAUACCAGUUGGAAACGACUGUUAAUACCGCAUAAUGUCUACGGACCAAAGUGUGGGACCUUCGGGCCACAUGCUAUCGGAUGCGCCUACGUGGGAUUAGCUAGUUGGUGAGGUAAUGGCUCACCAAGGCGACGAUCUCUAGCUGGUUUGAGAGGAUGAUCAGCCACACUGGAACUGAGACACGGUCCAGACUCCUACGGGAGGCAGCAGUGGGGAAUAUUGGACAAUGGGCGCAAGCCUGAUCCAGCCAUGCCGCGUGUGUGAAGAAGGCCUUCGGGUUGUAAAGCACUUUCAGCGAGGAGGAAGGGUGGUGUGUUAAUAGCACAUCAUUUUGACGUUACUCGCAGAAGAAGCACCGGCUAACUCUGUGCCAGCAGCCGCGGUAAUACAGAGGGUGCAAGCGUUAAUCGGAAUUACUGGGCGUAAAGCGCACGUAGGCGGUUUUUUAAGUCAGAUGUGAAAGCCCCGGGCUCAACCUGGGAAUUGCAUUUGAAACUGGGAAACUAGAGUGUGUGAGAGGGGGGUAGAAUUCCAAGUGUAGCGGUGAAAUGCGUAGAGAUUUGGAGGAAUACCAGUG